rnacentral:rRNA from 1 species
AAGAAGGCCUUCGGGUUGUAAAGCCCUUUUGUUGGGGAAGAAAUCGUACGGUUGAAUAUUCCGUGCGGAUGACGGUACCCAAAGAAUAAGCACCGGCUAACUUCGUGC